rnacentral:rRNA from 1 species
GGCAUUGCCUCAGUAACGGCGAGUGAAGCGGCAAAAGCUCAAAUUUGAAAUCCUCCGGGAAUUGUAAUUUGAAGGUGGGGUUGAAUAGGUCUAGAUACUUUAAGUCCAUUGGAAAAUGGCGCCAUGGAGGGUGAUAGCCCCGUAAAAGUAUUAACGCCUUCUUUUCUUCCCCUCCUAAGAGUCGAGUUGUUUGGGAAUGCAGCUCUAAGUGGGUGGUAAAUUCCAUCUAAAGCUAAAUAUUGGCGAGAGACCGAUAGCGAACAAGUACAGUGAUGGAAAGAUGAAAAGCACUUUGAAAAGAGAGUGAAAAAGUACGUGAAAUUGUUGAAAGGGAAGGGCUUGCAAGCAGACACAACCUCGGUUGGGCCAGCAUCGGAGUGGGGGGAGACAAAAAAGGCUAGGAAUGUAGCUCCCUUAGAGUAUUAUAUCCUGGCCCCAUAUCUCCACCCCCUUCCGAGGCCUGCGAUUCUUCAAGGAUGCUGGCGUAAUGGUUGCAAGUCGCCCGUCUUGAAACACGGACCAAGGAGUCUAACGUCUAUGCGAGUGUUUGAGUACCAAACCCAAACGCGCAAUGAAAGUAAUAGGAGCGAACC